UACGUAGGGUGCAAGCGUUGUCCGGAAUUAUUGGGCGUAAAGAGCUCGUAGGCGGUUUGUCGCGUCUGCUGUGAAAUCCCGAGGCUCAACCUCGGGUCUGCAGUGGGUACGGGCAGACUAGAGUGUGGUAGGGGAGAUUGGAAUUCCUGGUGUAGCGGUGGAAUGCGCAGAUAUCAGGAGGAACACCGAUGGCGAAGGCAGAUCUCUGGGCCAUUACUGACGCUGAGGAGCGAAAGCAUGGGGGAGCGAACAGG
rnacentral:rRNA from 1 species